AGGGUGUAAACGCUGCAGACUUGGUGUUGGAGGCCCUUUGGGGGCAUUCAGUGCCGGAGAGAAGUUGUUAAGUCUGCUACUUGGGGAGUACGUCCGCAAGGAUGAAACUUAAAGGAAUUGGCGGGGGAGCACCGCAACGGGAGGAGCGUGCGGUUUAAUUGGAUUCAACACCGUAAAACUCACCAGGGAAGACUGUUACAUGAAGGCCGAGAUGAAGACUCUGCUAGAUUUUUCAGAGAGGAGGUGCAUGGCGUCAGUG
rnacentral:rRNA from 1 species